CCUACGGGUGGCAGCAGUGGGGAAUAUUGCACAAUGGGGGAAACCCUGAUGCAGCGACGCCGCGUGAAGGAAGAAGUAUUUCGGUAUGUAAACUUCUAUCAGCAGGGAAGAAAAUGACGGUACCUGACUCAGAAGCCCCGGCUUACUACGUGCCAGCAGCCGCGGUAAUACGUCGGGGGCAGGCGUUAUCCGGAUUUACUGGGUGUAAAGGGAGCGUAGGCGGUUCAGCAAGUCCGGAGUGAAAGCCCGGGGGUCAACCCCCGGAGUGCUUUUGAAACUGGCGAACUAGAUUGCAGGAGAGGUACGUGGAAUGCGCGGUGUAGCGGUGAAAUGCGUAGAUAUUAGGAGGAACACCAGUGGCGAAGGCAGCGUACUGGACUGUAAAUGACGCUGAGGCACGAAAGCGUGGGGAGCAAACAGGAUUAGAUACCCGAGUAGUC
rnacentral:rRNA from 1 species